rnacentral:rRNA from 1 species
UACGAAGGGGGCUAGCGUUGCUCGGAAUCACUGGGCGUAAAGGGUGCGUAGGCGGGUCUUUAAGUCAGGGGUGAAAUCCUGGAGCUCAACUCCAGAACUGCCUUUGAUACUGAGGAUCUUGAGUCCGGGAGAGGUGAGUGGAAUUCCUAGUGUAGAGGUGAAAUUCGUAGAUAUUAGGAAGAACACCAGUGGCGAAGGCGGCUCACUGGCCCGGUACUGACGCUGAGGCGCGAAAGCGUGGGGAGCAAACAGG